GCGGGUGUGGCGGAAUAGGUAGACGCACCAGCUUGAGGGGCUGGCGGGGUAUCCACUCCUCGUGGAGGUUCGAGUCCUCUCGCCCGCACCA
rnacentral:tRNA from 1 species